GCUUAGAAGCAGCCAUCAUUUAAAGAAAGCGUAAUAGCUCACUGGUCGAGUCGGCCUGCGCGGAAGAUGUAACGGGGCUAAACCAUGCACCGAAGCUGCGGCAGCGACGCUUAUGCGUUGUUGGGUAGGGGAGCGUUCUGUAAGCCUGUGAAGGUGUACUGUGAGGUAUGCUGGAGGUAUCAGAAGUGCGAAUGCUGACAUAAGUAACGAUAAAGCGGGUGAAAAGC
rnacentral:rRNA from 1 species